GAUGAACGCUAGCGGCAGGCCUAAUACAUGCAGGUCGGACGGGAUUCAGGAGCUUGCUUCUGAUGAGAGUGGCGCACGGGUGCGUAACACGUAUGUAACCUACCUUUAUCAGGGGGAUAGCCUCUCGAAAGAGAGAUUAAGACCGCAUAAAAUCACAGCACAGCAUUGUGUAAUGAUCAAAUAUUUAUGGGAUAAAGAUGGGCAUGCGGAACAUUAGCUAGAUGGCGGGGUAACGGCCCACCAUGGCGACGAUGUUUAGGGGAUCUGAGAGGAUGGCCCCCCACACUGGUACUGAGACACGGACCAGACUCCUACGGGAGGCAGCAGUAAGGAAUAUUGGUCAAUGGGCGGAAGCCUGAACCAGCCAUGCCGCGUGCAGGAAGACGGCCCUACGGGUUGUAAACUGCUUUUAUACGGGAAUAAACCCAGAUACGUGUAUCUGGCUGAAUGUACUGUAAGAAUAAGGAUCGGCUAACUCCGUG
rnacentral:rRNA from 1 species